UAUUGGACAAUGGGGGGAACCCUGAUCCAGCGACGCCGCGUGUGUGAAGAAGUAUUUCGGUAUGUAAAGCUCUAUCAGCAGGGAAGAAAGAAAUGACGGUACCUGACUAAGAAGCCCCGGCUAACUACGUGCCAGCAACCGCGGUAAUACGUAGGGGGCAAGCGUUAUCCGGAUUUACCGGGUGUAAAGGGAGCGUAGACGGUGAGACAAGUCUGAAGUGAAAGCCCGGGGCUCAACCCCGGGACUGCUUUGGAAACUGCCUGACUGGAGUGCUGGAGAGGCAAGUGGAAUUCCUAGUGUAGCGGUGAAAUGCGUAGAUAUUAGGAAGAACACCAGUGGCGAAGGCGGCUUGCUGGACAGUAACUGACGUUGAGGCUCGAAAGCGUGGGGAGCAAACAGG
rnacentral:rRNA from 1 species